rnacentral:rRNA from 1 species
AACGAACGCUGGCGGCAUGCCUGACACAUGCAAGUCGAACGAGACCUUCGGGUCUAGUGGCGCACGGGUGCGUAACGCGUGGGAAUCUGCCCUUGGGUUCGGAAUAACAGUUAGAAAUGACUGCUAAUACCGGAUGAUGACGUAAGUCCAAAGAUUUAUCGCCCAAGGAUGAGCCCGCGUAGGAUUAGCUUGUUGGUGAGGUAAAAGCUCACCAAGGCGACGAUCCUUAGCUGGUCUGAGAGGAUGAUCAGCCACACUGGGACUGAGACACGGCCCAGACUCCUACGGGAGGCAGCAGUGGGGAAUAUUGGACAAUGGGCGAAAGCCUGAUCCAGCAAUGCCGCGUGAGUGAUGAAGGCCUUAGGGUUGUAAAGCUCCUUUACCCGGGAUGAUAAUGACAGUACCGGGAGAAUAAGCCCCGGCUAACUCCGUGCCAGCCGCCGCCGUAAUAC